rnacentral:rRNA from 1 species
UACGAAGGGGCUAGCGUUGCUCGGAAUCACUGGGCGUAAAGCGCACGUAGGCGGAUCUUUAAGUCAGGGGUGAAAUCCUGGAGCUCAACUCCAGAACUGCCUUUGAUACUGGAGAUCUCGAGUCCGGAAGAGGUGAGUGGAACUCCGAGUGUAGAGGUGAAAUUCGUAGAUAUUCGGAAGAACACCAGUGGCGAAGGCGGCUCACUGGUCCGGUACUGACGCUGAGGUGCGAAAGCGUGGGGAGCAACAGGAU